UACUUUAAUACAUAUGAAAAGUUUCAAAAAGUAAUAUCAAAAAUUAAAAAUUGAAUCAGUUUAAUUUCUUUUACAUUUUUUUCUUAUUUUAUUUUAUUUUUAAUUCAAAUAAUUCAAUUUACGCUAUGAUCAGUUAGAAAUAUAAUAAUGCCAGCCGCAAGCUAUUAAAAUAAAAAAUGUCUGUUUACGCUAAUUGAUAAGACUAAAAUGUUAAGCCCCCACGGAUGUGAAAAAAUAUAUUUAUUUUUAAAAACAUUGGCCUAACAGUUAUAAUUGUGUUUGGCAAUAUUUAUUGGCUGAAUGGGCGUUUGUCGGUUUUUUAUUAUUAUUAUUAUAUCGUGCGUGCAUAGCAACGGCCACCUACUGAUUUAUGUAUUCUACACUUUUGUAACAGUAUUGUUACUACUGUUAAGAUUUGAAUGAUCAGAAAAUUUCAAUAUUCUAGUUCGAAUUUUAUUUAAUGUCCAUUGAAUAGAUAUUGAAACUCUGCAAGUCGAUACCAGAAACAAAUGCAUAAUAUACAGUUUUGUUAUUUUAUAUAUAGCGGAUGAACCCUCACAGCCUGUAUUGAGAUCGAGUACGAAAAUUAUCUUAUAAAAGAAAUAUUCUUUGUCUUCUGUAAGACAAACCAUCAACAACCAGACCAAUUUCAUGAAAAAGCUGAAUUAUUCAUCUCGCGCCGAAAAAAGGUCAAAGUGUUGUAUGGACGCGACUACAGCCACUACUGCCUAACCAAAAAUUUCUUUUCGGUAUCACAUUCCAAAAAUCAGGUGGCUGUGUCCGUGGUGGAACCAUCAACAACCAGACCAAUUUCAUGAAAAAGCUGAAUUAUUCAUCUCGCGCCGAAAAAUGGUCAAAGUGUUGUAUGGACGCGACUUCAGCCACUACUGCCUAACCAAAAAUUUCUUUUCGGUAUCACAUUCCAAAAAUCAGGUGGCUGUGUCCGUGGUGGAACGCUUGGCGGCUGUGGCCGCGGCUGGACGGUCGGCAGCCUUACAGCGUUGUUGCUGGCUGGGACGUCUGUGCACCGGUUGUAGGGCACUGGCCAGCGCUGGUCCCUGUGCUGCGCUUGUCGGCCGCGGUUGUGGCUUCGCCGUGGUCGCCUUCCGAACCGUCCGCUGUGUGUGGCGGACUGGCCCCGGUAUGGGCCGACGGUCCGUCGGUGCCGGUGAACUCGCCGGUGCAGCCUUUGCGUGCUCGCGCCACCCGCGCUCAUACGCCGCCCACAGACGAGGAUCGGCCUAUAUAUCGGAUAAUAUGGACUUUUGACUGUUUUGUUUUUGUUUAUAUGAUUCAGAACGUUUUGAAGGGGUUUGGAGAACUGGAAUCUAAUGUAAAACAAAUAAUGUUUAAAAUAAUUCUUAGUUAAAAAUAUUAAAUUUAAAAAUAAAUGUUACAGAUAUAAUAAUAUUGAUGA